rnacentral:piRNA from 1 species
UGGUCGAGAUGUAAAGUUUGUA